GAACCGUGAAAGCGUGGC
rnacentral:snRNA from 1 species